rnacentral:tRNA from 1 species
GCCUAAGUAGUUUAAAUAAAAACACUGGUCUUGUAAGCCAGAACUAAUUCUUAGUAAUUCUAAGGCA